UACGAAGGGGGCUAGCGUUGCUCGGAAUGACUGGGCGUAAAGGGCGCGUAGGCGGCCGAUCAAGUCAGAUGUGAAAGUCCUGGGCUUAACCUGGGGACUGCAUUUGAUACUGAUUGGCUUGAAUGCAGGAGAGGAUAGCGGAAUUCCCAGUGUAGAGGUGAUAUUCGUAGAUAUUGGGAAGAACACCGGUGGCGAAGGCGGCUAUCUGGACUGUGAUUGACGCUGAGGCGCGAAAGCGUGGGGAGCAAACAGG
rnacentral:rRNA from 1 species